CAGCGAGUGCUUAAAGUGUCAUUUAAGUCCGUAAUUCAGAUCUAGAGUCCACGCGUCUACCUGUCAAAGCCCCCGGCCCGCCCUAACGAGGCCCAUCUGUGCUAAUGACACAAUGACCCCCAGGUGCCGGGCACAGCUGCGCCUCGUCCGGAGCCGAGCGCAACGCCCGCCCCAAAGCCUCUUAAGCUCCUCCGGGGGCUGCCGGGAGCUACGAAGGCGCUCUGCGCAGUCCCUCGCCGGGACGCGAUGAAGGAGGUUGUGUGAUGCUGUUCCUCUGCCCGAGGCGCUGCUGGGGCUGCUUGGAAGCCGAAACCUCGGGGUUCUGUUUAACGUUGUCUGUUGCGUUUGGUUCUUUUAUUCAGGCUGCAGGAGGGCGUCGGGAUCCGCCCCGGCCGGUGAGCCGUACCGAUAGCGAUGGAGGUGGUGAGCGCUCGGCGGUCCUUGGGGGGCUUUCCGCCUGGGGUGAGAGGCUGCCGGGCCCUCACCGUGCUCUUUUUGGGGCCGGCGUAGAGCUACCGCUGGGCUCCCUCGACUUUUCAGAGCCGGGAUUGCAGCGCUGCCUGCUUUCUGUUGUAUUUGGUUUGCUUUUUUUCCCCCCUCAACUUUUUUUUUUUUUAGGGAGUGCUUCAGUUCUUCAGUUCAUUCUGCUCUCAUCAGCGGGAGUGAGCGAGAUGGGGCUGUGCUUCUGCAGCCUCAGCACUGCUGGGAGAGAGGAGCAACACGAAGGGCUGCUAAAACCAGGUGUUUCCCUAUUGCGGCUGGAGCUGCAGCAGGGCCUCUCUUCAUCCCAAACCGGCGAGGUUGUGGAAGUGUUGAGAGUUUGGGAGUCAGUAGGUGAGCUCUCUCCCCUUUGGACUUGGGUAGGGUUGCUGCUGAGCUAUCUCUGUUUCUUCAGGAUCAGCACGGUGCUGCUCUUGGAGGCCAAGGGAGACCUCUGGGUGGCCUCAGCCCCCCAAAAGGGUUUGUAGGUCCUUCAGCUCCUGCCUCCAGCAGCGGGAGCGAGCAGCAGGAUGGGACUGGGUGUUUCCACCUUCCUUAUGUGCAUGACCUCAUUCCCAUCGUGGUGGGUGAACUUGUAUGCCUGGAAUGCUGUUUGUUACGGAUUGCAUGUUUUUUUUCCAGAAGGACAAUCCAGCAGGGUGAUGGAGUUGCUUUUCAGGUGAGAGAGCUGGAAAGGAUUGAGCCCUGCCUAGGGAUGAAUGAACAACUAGAGGAGUGCUUGUGAGGUAGGUAAAGGUGAGUAACAUCCUUGGGGGUGUUGGUUACAGACCAGGAUGAGGAAGAGGAUAAGACCUUCUGCGCACAGCUGUGGGCAUUAGUUGUUCUCAGGGUAGGCUGAACCACCCUGUCAGCUGUUGGGGAAGCAAGGCUGCCAGGCUUGGUUAUUCCAGGAGGUUCUUGCAAUGUGUCAAAGGUAAAACUUAGGACACAAGCGACGGAGGAGCUUGUUCUCCCUACAGAGGGAGGCUCAGCUGGGGGUGGCCGUUCUGAGAUGGUUCAGUUCAGGAUCUGGUGUGGAAGAAGCAAAGCAGUAAGUAGGGUUGAGAUAUUGGAUUUUCAGGAAGCCUGGUUUGUCCUCUGAAAGGAUCUACUUGGAGGUAUCCGUGCAGUUGGAACGUCAGAAGAGGUCCUGUGGGCGGUUGUUAUUUCAAGCAAUUUAUUUGCGCUCAGGAGGGGCGCUCUUAGGAGAGUAAGAAAAGGAGCAGAAAUAGCAGGGGAGCUUCAUGGGAAAAUGGGGCUUGCAGAAGAACUUGAAAGCGAGAAGGAAGAGAUUAGGAUGAGGAAGGCUAAAGCCUACUUAGUUUCUUCUUGGGGGGGGGGGGGGGGGGGGGGGGGGAAGAUCAAGGAUAACAGAAGUUAGCAAGUUUGUGAACAGCAAGGAGGAGAGUAGGGUGGGUCCUCUGCCUCAUCAGGCAGGGGCUGGAAUGCCUUCUUUGUUGCAGCUGUGACUGCUGAGGAUGCUCCUUGACGAUCCUGGAUCCCAGAGGAAAGCGUCUUUGAGGAAGGAUGCCUUCCUGAUCGCAGAGGAGGCGGCAAAGAUCACGUGGACAAAAUUAGUGCCCCCCAGGUCCUAGUGGGACGUGCCUGUGUGUGGCGAAGGAGCUGGCAGAAGUGAGCUCCAGCUGGCUCUGUGUCACAUUCUUUAUGAUGUUUUCUUUAGGAAAGUUGUGUGAGGACGGGAGGAUAGCCAGCAUCACGGCAGCCUUCAAAAAGGGAACUUGAAGAGUUUGCUAUGAAGCAGUCAAGGUGGAAUCACUGAGGGGAAAUUGUGCUGCUCCAACCUGGGAGCGUCAGGUCAGAGAAGAGCAGGGGAUGCUGCAAGCCUGACUUCAGUGUUUCUGUUGGCGUUUUUGUAAUGAAGCUUAACAAGUGUGAGAUGGUGACCUGGAUGAAGGGAGAGUCUCUAAUGUCGGUGAGUGAGCGGAUGAUGCGAAGCUGGGAGGAGCAGCGACAUUCAGCGGGACCCCAUGAACUGUGGAGAGCAGGUCAAGCGGAUGGGAAAGUUGUACAUGGGGUCCAAUGGAGGGCAAUGAAGAUGAUGAGGGGCCUGGAGCAUCUCUCUGUGGAGGACUGGAUGAGGAAUCUACUUCUGUUUCACCAAGAGAAGGAUGGAGGCUGCAAAGGAGUGUUUGUUUUUUUGGCAAGGAUCUGCCUGAACAUGAGUGGUUUCAUCAGUGGUGGAAUGGAGGAGGUAAGAGCCCUCAGUUGUGUUGUGUAGGUGUGGAGGCUCCUUUGUCAGAGGUUUGGUGCUGGAACAAGGAUUGCUGUGUGACUGCCUCUCCAGAGGGAGGUGAGUUCAUUCAGAAGUGGUGCCUUUUGGUGGAGCUUCACUUGGGCUGUAGCAGAAGAAUUGGAGCUGACUUAACAGUGUGUGCCCCAAAAAUACUGGGAAUGAAGUUUGCUUCCAUAGUGUGAGAAGCAGGUUGUCUACUUCAGCACUAUGGUGUGUCAGACUUGCUUGACUCACCAAAUGAAACCAGUACUUUUCCAGUGUUUGCAUUGUUGCAGCGGAAUUCCUGGAGAGAAGCGUUGCUUGAGUUUGGAAGGGCUUCUCGAGUGUGAAGGUAGGAGUGCUGUCCUGAGAGCUGAGCGGCGUUGACUCUUGCAAAAAGAUGGUUUCCUUUUUUCAGAUAGGUAAGUCAAACCACUCUCAGCAAACCAAUGGAGAAACCAGAGACUAGUGCAUCUCUAUGGUACCCUUUGGGUUAAGUUAGGAAUCAGAAAGCAGCCUGGGUUGGAAGGAACCUGUGUCUCCAAGCUCUGCACUGCUCUGCCUCAACUUCAGUUGCAUCUCUAUUCAAAGUAACAAUUUCUACACUAGGAGGAACUUAGCUGUGACACCUGGGCACAAAUUACACCUUUGGAGACAAACUUCAAGAUUUGCAAACUUCAAGAUUUGUUUCCUAUAGGUACAGGCCUGAAUCAAACACCCCUUCUGCAUCACGUUGCAGCCUGUUUCCCAAGGUUUCCAGCUUCUUUCUCCAACUGUUGCAAAGAUGGCACUGUUGUUUUUUCCUGCGUAGCCUGAAGUCCCCAGUGGCUACAGUCCACUUCUCUCCACCGCUGACGUUUAAGGUGCUGACAGCCCCCAAGCGCCCGAGGGAUCCUGCUGUCUUCGGCAAGGUCUCAUUUCAUUUAAUUUCAUAUUUAAAGCUUCCGUGACCUUUUUGAACAUGUAAAUGAUAAAAAUACUUUCACACACGGAUGUAUCGAGCGCCACGUCCACCUAGGCUUGUUAAUAAACCUCGUUGCUCUGUUUCUGCUGGCCCGUGGCUAUAUUAGCUGUCUGCUCGCCUUAUUUGUGAGAUAUAAAUAGCCAGGGACUGCACACUCGCUGUCUAGUUACAUCGAGAUAACAGUGAUUUUAAUACUCUUAAACAAGCCUGUCUCCUGACGCGGGUCUGUCCAGAAUGCUCACUCUUACCUAUCUUCCUUCUUCGUGUUUGAGUGGGAGAUUCGUAAGCAAAAUUUCUCAGCCACCAAACGUGCCAAUAGAAAACAAAAGGGCCACUGAAGGGCGUUUUUGCACUGUUCACACGCUGCUGUUGGAAAGUAAUUCUCCAUACCAUUUCUUAUGUUUGGGCUCAAUAACAUUUCAUACCCGUACCGCACAGUGGUUCUGACCCAGUCACGCUGCAUUGGCUUGAAUCAGAAAGUCCCAGACUCAUCUCAGGGCUAUGCUAUAUCAUUCUUACUGCAAAUUGAAGAUAGCUGGUACUCCCUUCCCAAAAGGCCUCGAGCCUCAACACAGUAAUGCCUUACAGUGAAGUAAAGCAGAGAGAGGCAGAGAACUACACUCAGUAAGGGAUUGAACUAACAACAGAAUUUAAACAGGAUUUAGGUGAGGAUUGGCAUCUAAAUAAACAGUUGUGAGCUAAAGACCCUUGGCUCUCAGGGCAUCUCCUUCUGUGACCGAAAAGGUCUCUAGGGCCGCUGUGAGGGUACAGAGGGAGAACUGCAUCCUGGCUUCCCAGCAUCUAUUUUUCUGCUGAACUAAGUGCACGUGCCCUGUAAGGCACGCCCAGAGCACGCUGGACACCCUGCCUUAGCCCCAGGUCGCGCCACUUGUUCAGGUAUCGUUUGGGUAACUGAUCUUUCAGUGCUAAAUGCCGACUACAGCAUCCUCAGAGAGAAGCUCUCUCUCUUGGAGAAGCUGAUAGCCCUAAGCACUGCAUUACAGAGCACUGAGAGUCCCCCACAGGAACAUGCUGCCCCUGGAGGACGGCUAGUCUAGUCAGGACCUAAUGCAAACCAUGGAAGUACAGGUAUCUGUGGAAUAACAUACCACUUUGGCUGCGUACAAAAUGAGAUACAAUGAGUAAGUUCAUCAAGGACAUUAUAGCCUCUGGAGAAAUCCUUUACAAUAGCUGCGAUGAGUAACAUCUCACUCCAUGACUCUGUUGACUUCCAUCUUCCCCUAUAGUUACAUGGAUUACCCUGGAAGCAAUGCCUCCUCUUUAUUUCUACAGAAACUACAGUGAAUAAAAAGAGCACAAGAACACUAUUUGAUAGUGUUUUGUGGCUGAGAACUUGCUCUGCUUUUCAACAUAGUCACCGCUGCUAGCUAUAGACUUUGUCGCAUGGCUAUAUCUAAGUAUGCACGCAUUAUUACGUACUUGUGAAAACUUUUCCACAUAGCUGUGCUGUAAUUUGCAUUCACAUCUUACAUUUAUAUCCGUAAGAGGACUUCUGCCGGGCACGGGUGAGCACCGUUGGACUAUACAAUGCUUGAUAGCUGGGGGCAACAGUGCAGUGGCAACAACAGAGAAGUGAGGUGCAGCAGCAGCGGAUGCAGAAAAGAAAGAAACUCCUUACCUUUACAAGACCUGUAAAAUCCUCAAGAGGUGCAGAGAGCUCUAGAAGACAGUCUUUCUCCUCCCCCUGCUGGCCCUUAAAUGAGGUCUGGGAAGGGGUGGAUCCUGGCUCCACCCCUUCUAAUUGGCUGCAUUGCGUUCACCUGGGUUGGCCCUGGCUUGGCCCUGCCUUCCACCAGGUGCUCAAUCACUGCUUCGGACCGUGACUUGAUGUCUCUUAUGCAGACAUCAAUAAAAUCUCUGACUUGAUUUUUGGCUACGUAAGGAACUGUACGUCAGAGUCGUGGUUUUCUUCCAGUUCCUCUCUACUGAGUUCACUGCUUCUUCUUUACUUGUUAUUCAGUGCUUGCUGUCUUCCCAUCAGCAGCCGUCCACCUUCGAAGCGAUUGGUGUCAGAUGUCAUUUCUCAUGGCCGGUUUCCCUGGCUUUCGCUAAUGCAAACUGAUGUACAACAUUUGCACUUUGGAGCGGUUCGAAGCAGUGAUUUCCAUUUUCAUACCCUCGUGCGCUUCGUUCAGUUAUUUCUUCUGCAGUACUUGUUGCCCUCCUCGCACUGAAAAAAAAAGUGAAGCAGAACUUCGAUUAGGUCUAUGCGAGUUAUCCUCCAGCCUGUAAAAUAGCCUUCCUGCACCAUAAUCCAUUUUCUUUGCUUCUGAUAGCUACCUGUCCAAACAAGUCCUUGCUGUUUGUAUUAAAGUCCGUGCCCACGUGCCCAAUGCUUUCUGAAAAAUGACUUCCGUUCUCAUUUUGUUUCCUUACAUAAAAGCGCCUAGGAUCCAUUCCUCAAAAGCUAUGCUUUUUCUCCAUGCUACUUACUAACAUAAUGCUCCUCCCGGUCAGCUCAGGAACCUUCCCUGGCACUCUGUGGACGCACGGUUUGCCACUCAGGUUUUUCACAGGGUGCAUAAUCGUGGUGUAAUUCCUGUGUUUCGUGACUCACAGCGCGCUCUAAACUGAAGUAACUCAGCAGGCUUCAAGAGAAGCACGGUUUUAUGGUCAGUCAGGUCCGACUAAACUGUUGCGUGCAUUUCAGAGCAUCCUACAGAAUAUUUGUAUUGUAUUCUAAAGAAUACAAGUAAUAUACCUAUUAGCCUGCCCAGAAACAUUCCUGGGGCAGCUGGGGAGAAAAACAGUGAUGUGCCGUUUAGUGGCCUUGAAGCGGGAUGCGCGCAAGGGUCUCCUCUGGGGGGUAUCAAACGCAAGGAUAUAGUAUUGCAUUUAUUGUUGGGCUCAGAUCUCCAUUGGCCUGAGGUUCUUGACUCGCGUAUGUUUGCACGAGCGGGUUUUUCACGAGCCUAUUCCUGCCUGCCCAGAUAUUUUUCCGUGGCACGUCAUAUUCUUUUGUUUUCCCCCGCUCAGAAGUGAAGUCUCUGUCAGCAGGGCUCUUCCUGUCUUUCUCGCCAGCUGCCUUCAAACAGAGAUUUUAACCGAUACUUCAGACGUUCAGGGUGGGUAUUCCCUUUCUCAUCCCUCUGGAAACUCGCCGAAGCCGCCGCUGUUUUAUUUGCCAAUACUGGAGGCCUAUUUUUAUAGCCAGAGCUCAAGGUGUGUCUAAACCAGGCCUUAAAUUUUUGGACCGAUCUUGACAGCUCGUUGUUAAAG
rnacentral:lncRNA from 1 species